rnacentral:lncRNA from 1 species
CACCAUCAGAGGUUGCUUCUAUCCUCCUCAUGAGAUGAUUUUCAUGCAUAAGCACAGUCAGUACUCCUACUUAACCAAACCAUACAAUCAGAGCUAAUGUCAAACCCUUAAUAUACAAAUACACUUUCCUUCCGUUUGAUAGGAUAUCAACAUAAUAAUCUAAAGCAUGAUCCAAGAGACUGAGUAAUUAGGAAAUAACAAAACAUGGCUUGGCUUUUGUCAUAGACGCCUAUACACAAUCAAUUCAUUUCUUAGAAACCCACAUAAAACAAAGCUUUAGUUUGUUUUAACCAGCAAGUUAACCAAUCUGCAACCUUCACCUUUCACAAUGCUUAAACCUAGAAUCUAGCACUCACACUUUCAAAUGAUACUAGUUAAUCUAGAAAACUGAACUUCAUAUUUAUUACAAAUAUAAAUGAGAAAAAUAGAAACAGAAAUGUUCAAAUCAACUUCAUAUUCAUUCUAAAUUCCAUUUGAACAUGAGACUCGACAAUCACUUGCUCUCCAUAGUUUAUAGGUUUACUCGGAGAUCGAAAGGCAACAAAGAAAUGAGGAAUCAGUGGUUGAGCAGCAAUGUAUCAGUAGCAAAAAUCAGUCCCA